GUUCCAUCCCAUUAUUCUCAUUCUCGUUGAUGAUCUCUACGUUAAGCCGUGGCGAAUUCUGCGCGAGCCUCUUGCAGCCACCGAGUGUUACUUCACAAGACGACAUCCAAAGGGAUCGCAUUGUUUCGUACCUACCCACGUCAGCAAGAAGCGCAGCGUUCCCAAAAGGACUGUCCCUUAUCUCCAGCUUCCUCAUUUUUUUGCAUCCAUUCAACACAUAGAGCAUUCCUUUGUCAGUGUCCCCCGCAAAAGCUAUCGAAAGCAUCUCGAGCUGUUCCGCGUACAUACCGAUGUAGAGAAAGACUUGAUCGGUUAAGAGACCGGAGACAGAGAGCCGUCUUAGACCCUUGCAAGCUUGUACGAUUGCACCAAAGCCCUCGUCCAGUGAUUGAAAUGUAAUGUGGUCAGGUUUGUGUGGCUCGAGAAUGCAUAGCCUGAACCGGAUGAAGUUUGGACAGUUUUUGGCCACGGCUAUGAGCGCUGCGUUUGUCAUCUGUUUGCAGAAGUACAGAAUCGAAUGAAGUUUAGGGCAACCUGCGGAAAUGGCGACUAGUCCAACCUCAGUCACAGAUGCGUUGUUAUCUUCUUCACCAUGUACAUCAGAGGGAAAAACUCUAAGCUCUUGUAACUCUUUACAU